ACCCGUUUGCCUCAGGAAGCCGAGCUCAUCUGGAUUCCCGCCAUGGCCUGGGCCCCUCUGCUCCUUGGGCUGUUUGCUUACUGCUCAGGGGUCAGUUCGCAGCCCGUGGUGACUCAGGAGCCCUCGAUGUCGGUGACCCCAGGAGGGGCUGUCACUCUGUCCUGCAGCCUGAGCACUGGAGCCAUCACCACCAGCAACUAUCCCUCCUGGUACCAGCAGAAACCAGGCUCUGCUCCUCGACUGCUUAUAUACAACACCAAUAGGAGACCCUCCGGGAUCCCUGCCCAGUUCUCUGGGUCCAUAUCUGGUAACAACGCUGCCCUGACCAUCACCGGUGUCCAGGCAGAGGAUGAGGCUGACUAUUACUGUGUUGUGUAUACGGGUAGCAGUGGUAGUUGGUCUCACAGUGAUCCAGCCAGAUGGGAACAGAGACAGAAACCUCCCAUCAUCCCUCGUCAUCUCCUCCAGCCUGGGCUCUCCACUGGCUGCACAGUUUGGUUCCUCCCUGCAAUAUAUGAGACACCGAUUGCUCCUCCUUAGGAAUUUCAGCCACCAGCUCUUGCUGUCAGCAGGGGGCGCUGCUCCACCCACUCCCCAUUCACUCCCUCUGGGGGAGAUGUCAGCCGCUCUUAUGCUCACUGCUUGGUAUCUACAAUGGAGCAGCUUUUGCUGCCUUAGGGAUCCCUAUGCUACAGACCCACCACUACGUGGAUCAAAGUGGGAUCAGACGGCCACAUGCUCCUUGGGUAAAGGAUGCUCCACAAAGCUCCUUCAGCCUUGUCUGAGCCAGUUCCAUCUGCUCCCCACUCCCAAUCUCUGAGGGACUCCAAAGGGCACUGGCCUCGUCCCUGCUUCUUCCCUCUCCACCCCACUCCAUGUGACGGGUUGGACCCCUUGGGAAGCCACCUGAUGUGCUGAGAUACCCCUGAGUCUACCUGUUCUGCCAGCCUGGGCCUCCUUUAACCUGUCUUGCUGAGCCAGGCCCUGAAAACCUCCUCGAACACACACACAGGCAGGGCCACCCCCAGCUGCAGCUCAGCUCUGGGAAGACUCAGCUUCAAGGACUUGCUCCAGCACUCAGCUGUCCCCACCUCCCUGGGAGUGCAGACCCAGAGAUAUAGUAGGAAAUUCACCCCCUCCCUCAAUGUGGAGAGAGGGCUGCACACUUCUUACCCCGCCAGUUAGAAAUUACAGAAACUGGGUUUAAUAAUAAACAAAACUAAUUUUAUUAACU